CAGGGAUUAACUCACCAAUUAGACUAACCUGCCUGAACAUUUCUACAGUUACUAGAUAUGGUAGAAAUAUUCAUUGCCUUCAGUUAACCACUGAAUUUAGAAACUCUUUUCAGUAGGAUCUGGAAACAUCUAUCAAAGCAGCCCAUUAAACAAGCCCAGAGGAUGGGUUGAUUUACUAGGAGUAAUUAUCAAAUAAUACAUCUAUAUUACCAACAUCUAACAAGCAAAUUUGUGAACACAGAUUCUUAUACAAAACUGGAUUGUUUUUUUGUCAUUGCAGAUCCCAUAAAGAAACCCAAACUGAUUUAAAAUAUAAAUGGGAAUGCAAAAUAGUUGUGCCUUCAGAUGAGCCUUCAAGUAUAGUAUGAUCAGAACUCUAGCCAAAUUUUUCUGCCAUUCCUUCAAACUUUCUCCUUCUUUUCAUUGUCUGACUGGUUUUCCUCAUGGUUCUAUAACAUGAAUCCACAUCUCUUAUUUCCCCACUCUGAACAGAAAAUCAUACUAUCUUAAGAUUUAUAGGAGUAUCCCUGAGUUUUUCCCUAAUUAUUAUAUACCAUCACCAAAACUUCAUAGAGCAAAUAUUACAAAUGCUAUUUUGCAAAGAGGUAAACUGAGAUGAGAAACUGAAUAACUUUUCCACAGUCAAAUACCUGGAGCUGGCACUAGUGCUAUAAUCUUGCACAAGUUGGAAUGUGUUGGAAAACGUAAUUAAAUUUGGAGGGUUACAAUUAAGAAAAUUUAAUGAAGGAAUUAUUCUAGAGUGUAGACAGAGUUUACUAUACAAACAAGGGAUGGUGAGGUAUCCAGAGAUUGGCUAUGAUGGGAAGCUGUUCCUAUCCAUAUGGCAGAAUGGACAUCAAAGGAGACCACCUGGAACCAAGUGAAGAUGGAAGAUCUCUAAGCCCAGACAGCCUUGAUUCUGCACAGCAUGCAACAUCUGCCACUUGUGUAAUACUAAGGCAGGGUACCUUAGUACUUUGUUUCACUUCAGAUCACCUGCUGGUGCUUCCACUAAUCAAAUCCAAUAAAGAGAUGAACAUCAAGAAAUCAGGGGGUUAGGGCUGGGGAUGUGGCUCAAGCGGUACCGCGCUUUCCUGGCAUGCGCGGGGCGCUAGGUUCUAUCCUCAGCACCACAUAAAAUAAAAUAAAGAUGUGUGUCCACC
rnacentral:lncRNA from 1 species